CAAAUCGUAGCUUAACCAAAGCAUCUCGCUUACACCGAGAAUAUAUCUGUUAAACCCAGAUCGCUUUGAG
rnacentral:tRNA from 1 species